rnacentral:rRNA from 1 species
AUUGAACGCUGGCGGAAUGCUUUACACAUGCAAGUCGGGCGGCAGCGCGGGGGCAACCCUGGCGGCGAGCGGCGAACGGGUGAGUAACACAUCGGAACGUACCCUGUCGUGGGGGAUAACGAAUCGAAAGAUUCGCUAAUACCGCAUACGACCUGAGGGUGAAAGCGGGGGGAUCGCAAGACCUCGCGCGAGAGGAGCGGCCGAUGGCGGAUUAGCUAGUUGGUGGGGUAAAGGCCCACCAAGGCGACGAUCCGUAGCGGGUCUGAGAGGACGGCCCGCCACACUGGGACUGAGACACGGCCCAGACUCCUACGGGAGGCAGCAGUGGGGAAUUUUGGACAAUGGGGGCAACCCUGAUCCAGCCAUUCCGCGUGAGUGAAGAAGGCCUUCGGGUUGGUAAGACUCUUUCGGUCAGGAACGAAACGGACGGGCGUCGUAACAUAGCCUGUCAAUGACGGUACCUGAAGAAGAAGCACCGGCUAACUACGUGCCAGCAGCCGCGGUAA